rnacentral:rRNA from 1 species
GAUGAACGCUAGCGGCAGGCCUAACACAUGCCAGUCGAGGGGGAAGUUACUUUCGGGUGACUGAGACCGGCGUACGGGUGCGUAACGCGUAUACAAUCUGCCUUUCACUGGGGGAUAGCCCGAAGAAAUUUGGAUUAAUACCCCAUAGUAUAUAGGGACGGCAUCGUUUUUAUAUUAAAGCUUAGGUGGUGAAAGAUGAGUAUGCGUUCUAUUAGCUAGUUGGAGAGGUAACGGCUCCCCAAGGCGAUGAUAGAUAGGGGUUCUGAGAGGGAUGUCCCCCACACUGGUACUGAGAUACGGACCAGACUCCUACGGGAGGCAGCAGUGAGGAAUAUUGGACAAUGGUCGGAAGACUGAUCCAGCCAUGCCGCGUGCAGGAUGAAGGUCUUAUGGAUUGUAAACUGCUUUUGUAAGGGAAGAAUAAGGGCUACGCGUAGUUUGAUGACGGUACCUUACGAAUAAGCAUCGGCUAACUCCGUG